rnacentral:ncRNA from 1 species
AGCCCGUGGCGCUUUGUUACCGGAUUGCGGGCCACGUUAAACAUUCCGCUAAAAGGGUCAGGGUUU